rnacentral:tRNA from 2 species
UGGGGCGUCGUCUAACGGUAGGACUGCAGGCUCUGGACCUGCCUGUCCAGGUUCGAAUCCUGGCGCCCCAG